rnacentral:lncRNA from 1 species
CGUCCUCUCAGCUCUGGGAAGGGUGGGGUGGUCAUGAAGUCCUGAGAGAGCAGAGGGACACACCAACUUCUCUUGUUGGUUCCCUCAACCCUGCCCAUACCUAUGGGUAAUCAGAGAUGGAUUCAGUCUCCAGUUAGGAUCCUGAUCAAGGUAUUUGCAUGGGGGAUUCCAUGCAGAUGGUGUAUAGAGAGAAGAUAGACACAAGGGAUCUUCAUAGCCAAGGACUGGAUUUGAACAAGUCAGUCUCCAGCUAUGUUUUAGAGACUGAGGACUGUGCCCGUCAUCCCUUAGAGCUUCUCUCUGGGCCACUGGCUUGAAGCGCACAUCUCAGGGAAAAAGGUCAGUGUGAUUCCCUUAUUUCUUUGUGGAAAGACCUCAGUAGUCAAAAGUGUUUGCCUGCGUUAUUUGUCUGAAAAGGAUCUUCUCUAGGACAGCUAGGUCCACAGGACAGCACCAAGAGUUACUCUGCACGCUUAUAGUACCUGUUUAUGAACAGAAACAGAGGCAAUAUUCACAUGAAAGCUCAAAUGUGGAUCUCUCCUACCAUAGUCACGUCUUCACAAGCUGACAGCCCUCUCAAUUCUGAGAUUUGUUAUUCAGCCUUUUCCCAAUAGGAUCUACAAAGCACCUCUUGACCAUUUAUCACGCAUGGAACCAACAUGUCAAAUUCCUCAAUAACUGAUUCCCGCCUAGGAUCACACUCAUUGACUAGCUCCACCAAUUCUUACAAUUCAUUCAGGCUUUGCUACAAGCAUACAGCUUUGCUAGAAGUAGAUUUCUUCUAGGAAAUUUCAUGCUACUGAGAGGUUGUGUGGCAGAGCCAUGUUGCCAUUCUUCCAGCAUGACUUGAUAGCUAAGUUGAACACUAUCCCAAGGAGAUGCCUCCUUGACAAUUUACACUACAAAGUGAAUCAUAACCCUGACCCUGGAGACUGCUAUAACGGGCUCCUGUGAGAGUUCUAUUUGCAGAACCCAGAAUUCACAACGGAACAUCAACAUAUCCAAAAGACAAGUUUCAAUGAACAGAUUCUCAGCAAAAGGACUCUAAGGAUGCAGAGGAAGGGAAGUCGCCCAAUCUGGGAAGGAGGAAGGGGGUAGUGAGAAGUUGUUCCAUUUAGAACACUGAGGCCCUGGCUAAGACUCCUUGUUCCAGGGACGGACAGAGAAACAUGAAAUGCCUGCUCCACAAUGCUAUGCUGAACAACCAGAGGAAGUUAUAGGAUCUCACAGACUAUUAGAACCGGACUGAGAAAUCCACUUAAAUAUGAAGUCAGUUUAGAAAGGAGAAAGGUGUGACAUGUUCAAUCAAAAGAAACCUGGAGCUGACUACAGCAGAGAAAGUUGUCAUGAAUGAUAGUGAGCAUUACAUGCAAGGACAGUCCAAGAAGUCGUCUUUGUACCUAAGAGCAUCAAGAUGAAAUGUGAACUGAUAAGACAAAUCCACUCCUGUAGUUGAGGAUGUCAACACCAUCAGUAAUGGGCAGACCCAGAAGGCAUGGACAUAACUGAUCAGUCAACUGGGCUUUGUGACCACUUAUACAAUAGUUUGUU